rnacentral:rRNA from 1 species
GUCUUGCAGGAAAAACGUUCCGUAGGUGAACCUGCGGAAGGAUCAUUA